rnacentral:rRNA from 1 species
UACGUAGGGUGCAAGCGUUAAUCGGAAUUACUGGGCGUAAAGCGUGCGCAGGCGGCGUUGUAAGACAGUUGUGAAAUCCCCGGGCUCAACCUGGGAACUGCAUCUGUGACUGCAUCGCUGGAGUGCGGCAGAGGGGGAUGGAAUUCCGCGUGUAGCAGUGAAAUGCGUAGAUAUGCGGAGGAACACCGAUGGCGAAGGCAAUCCCCUGGGCCUGCACUGACGCUCAUGCACGAAAGCGUGGGGAGCAAACAGG